rnacentral:rRNA from 1 species
CCUACGGGGGGCUGCAGUGGGGAAUAUUGGACAAUGGGGGCAACCCUGAUCCAGCCAUGCCGCGUGUGUGAAGAAGGCCCUCGGGUUGUAAAGCACUUUCAGUGAGGAAGAACGCCUGGUGGUUAAUACCCAUCAGGAAAGACAUCACUCACAGAAGAAGCACCGGCUAACUCCGUGCCAGCAGCCGCGGUAAUACGGUGGGUGCGAGCGUUAAUCGGAAUUACUGGGCGUAAAGCGCGCGUAGGUGGCUUGAUAAGCCGGUUGUGAAAGCCCCGGGCUCAACCUGGGAACGGCAUCCGGAACUGUGAAGCUAGAGUGCAGGAGAGGAAGGUAGAAUUCCCGGUGUAGCGGUGAAAUGCGUAGAGAUCGGGAGGAAUACCAGUGGCGAAGGCGGCCUUCUGGACUGAAACUGACACUGAGGUGCGAAAGCGUGGGUAGCAAACAGGAUUAGAUACCCGUGUAGUC